GUUGAACGCUGGCGGCAGGCUUAACACAUGCAAGUCGAACGAGUGGCGGACGGGUGAGUAGUGCUUGGGAAUCUCGCUUAUGGAGGGGGAUAACUGCGGGCAACUGUUGCUACUACCGCGUACCAUAGGCUGAGCCCAAGUGGGAUUAGGUAGUUGGUGAGGUAAAGGCUCACCAAGCCCACGAUCUCUAGCUGGUCUGAGAGGAUGACCAGCAACCCUGGGACUGAGACAGGGCCCAGACUCCUACGGGAGGCAGCAGUGGGGAAUAUUGCACAAUGGGCGCAAGCCUGAUGCAGCCAUGCCGCGUGUAUGAAGAAGGCCUUAGGGUUGUAAAGGACUUUCAGCGGGGAGGCGUUACCCGCAGAAGAAGCACCGGCUAACUCCGUGCCAGCCGCCGCGGUAAUAC
rnacentral:rRNA from 1 species